UUUAGGUUCGUUUAGUAAUAUUUAUUUACUAAGAUAGCGGAAGUUACUAUUUUCGGACUCGAAACAGAGUAGCUGGCUCUGUUUUAUCUCAAAUUAAGUCACAAAAGCUUUGAAGAUUAUUUCUAAUAAUCCUCUCUCACUCAUUUCUUCUCACUUCUGGUGAAGCAAAUUUCCAACCAAUAAAAUCAACAAAGGAGAGAUCUCACGAGGAUGAUGAAGAAGGAACAUGAAGAGGAUUCUUUGGAAACCAUCACUAUCCGACCUAUAUAUAUCCAUGGAUGAUCUCAUCUUUGCUUCUUACUCCAUCUAAAACACUCAAAAGACUAUUAGUAAUAUCUAUUGUUUAAGACUUAAACUGAUUUCAGUUCCUGCAAUUAUGUUGUUUUCGCUUCUUCUAUCUAUUUCUCAUGUAAUUUCUAUCAGUUAUAGCGGGUUUAUUGUUCUGAAAACAUAACUAUUAAUGUAAACCGAAUCGAUACAACAUA